GACGAACGCUGGCGGCGUGCUUAACACAUGCAAGUCGAACGGUGAAGCGCCUUCCUUUUUGGUGGGUGUGGAUGAGUGGCGAACGGGUGAGUAACACGUGAGUAACCUGCCCCCUUCUUCUGGAUAACCGCAUGAAAGUGUGGCUAAUACGGGAUAUUCUGGGUCUGUCGCAUGAUGGGUCUGGGAAAGAUAUUGUUUCGGUGGGGGAUGGGCUCGCGGCCUAUCAGCUUGUUGGUGGGGUGAUGGCCUACCAAGGCGGUGACGGGUAGCCGGCCUGAGAGGGUGGACGGUCACACUGGGACUGAGACACGGCCCAGACUCCUACGGGAGGCAACAGUGGGGAAUAUUGCACAAUGGGCGCAAGCCUGAUGCAGCGACGCCGCGUGAGGGAUGGAGGCCUUCGGGUUGUGAACCUCUUUCGCCAGUGAAGCAGGCCUGCCUCGUUUGUGGGUGGGUUGACGGUAGCUGGAUAAGAAGCGCCGGCUAACUACGUG
rnacentral:rRNA from 1 species